UCCGAGUUGACCCCGGCAGUCUCCUACGAGUCCCCGGCAUUACCCGCUGGCAACAUAGGACAAGGGUUGCGCUCGUUGCGGGACUUAACCCAACAUCUCACGACACGAGCUGACGACAGCCAUGCACCACCUAUCGCCGGCCCCGAAGGACACUACAUCUCUGCAGCAUCUGUGCAUGGGCUCCGAAGAGCGGCCCUGAUCUCUCAAGACCUUCCCAUGCAUGUCAAGCCCAGGUAAGGUUCUUCGCGUUGCGUCGAAUUAAACCACAUGCUCCACCGCUUGUGCGGGCCCCCGUCAAUUCCUUUGAGUUUCAGCCUUGCGGCCGUACUCCCCAGGCGGGGCACUUACUGCGUUAGCGACGGCACUCAGAGGGUCGCUCCCCCAAGCACCUAGUGCCCAU
rnacentral:misc_RNA from 1 species